rnacentral:rRNA from 1 species
CCUACGGGCGGCAGCAGUGGGGAAUAUUGGACAAUGGGGGGAACCCUGAUCCAGCCAUGCCGCGUGUGUGAAGAAGGCCCUCGGGUUGUAAAGCACUUUCAGUGAGGAAGAACGCCUGGUGGUUAAUACCCAUCAGGAAAGACAUCACUCACAGAAGAAGCACCGGCUAACUCCGUGCCAGCAGCCGCGGUAAUACGGAGGGUGCGAGCGUUAAUCGGAAUUACUGGGCGUAAAGCGCGCGUAGGUGGCUUGAUAAGCCGGUUGUGAAAGCCCCGGGCUCAACCUGGGAACGGCAUCCGGAACUGUCAAGCUAGAGUGCAGGAGAGGAAGGUAGAAUUCCCGGUGUAGCGGUGAAAUGCGUAGAGAUCGGGAGGAAUACCAGUGGCGAAGGCGGCCUUCUGGACUGACACUGACACUGAGGUGCGAAAGCGUGGGUAACAAACAGGAUUAGAUACCCUGGUAGUC